UACGUAGGGUGCAAGCGUUAAUCGGAAUUACUGGGCGUAAAGCGUGCGCAGGCGGUUUGUUAAGUCUGCUGUGAAAUCCCCGAGCUCAACUUGGGAAUUGCAGUGGAUACUGGCAGGCUGGAGUACGGUAGAGGAAGGUGGAAUUCCCGGUGUAGCAGUGAAAUGCGUAGAGAUCGGGAGGAACACCAGUGGCGAAGGCGGCCUUCUGGACCAGUACUGACGCUCAUGCACGAAAGCGUGGGGAGCAAACAGG
rnacentral:rRNA from 1 species